rnacentral:rRNA from 1 species
GAUGAACGCUGGCGGCGUGCCUAAUACAUGCAAGUCGAGCGGACAGACGAGGAGCUUGCUCCUUUGACGUUAGCGGCGGACGGGUGAGUAACACGUAGGUAACCUACCUAUAAGACUGGGAUAACUUCGGGAAACCGGAGCUAAUACCGGAUAAUAUUUCGAACCGCAUGGUUCGAUAGUGAAAGAUGGCUUUGCUAUCACUUAUAGAUGGACCUGCGCCGUAUUAGCUAGUUGGUAAGGUAACGGCUUACCAAGGCAACGAUACGUAGCCGACCUGAGAGGGUGAUCGGCCACACUGGAACUGAGACACGGUCCAGACUCCUACGGGAGGCAGCAGUAGGGAAUCUUCCGCAAUGGGCGAAAGCCUGACGGAGCAACGCCGCGUGAGUGAUGAAGGUCUUCGGAUCGUAAAACUCUGUUAUUAGGGAAGAACAAACGUGUAAGUAACUGUGCACGUCUUGACGGUACCUAAUCAGAAAGCCACGGCUAACUACGUG